GAAACAUCAGAAAAUUACCAAAGGUAAAGCUUUUAUGAGCUAACAAUAGCUCCAUUGCGGUUGGUCUGCCUUAGCAUUUUAAAUUAGCAUAUACACUUCAUGUUUCAAAUCUUCUGCAUCGUGUUGGAAGCUGGACAUAAUUUCAGUCAUUCUAUGUACUCCACUGCCUUACUUCAUGGGGAAAAGGAAAUAUGAUCAGUAAGGUAUUGAUCUUAAUAUAGUCUAAAUAAAAAGGAGGAAAGUAUGGCUUUUAUGGUAGG
rnacentral:misc_RNA from 1 species